UCCCUCUCAGGGUCGCAACUGGAGAGUUUCCAGUACUCCACCAGUCUCAGUUACAGGAGGGAAAGUCAAGCAGAGGCCUACCCAUUCAAUUCUUAGCUUGGGCCGUGGAUAGUGAGUUGAAGGCAAUCUGCUACAAAU
rfam:Ornithorhynchus anatinus chromosome X1, whole genome shotgun sequence.